rnacentral:rRNA from 1 species
AGUGAAUGCUGGCGGUAGGCCUAACACAUGCAAGUCGAACGGCAGCACAGUAAGAGCUUGCUCUUACGGGUGGCGAGUGGCGGACGGGUGAGGAAUACAUCGGAAUCUACUUUUUCGUGGGGGAUAACGUAGGGAAACUUACGCUAAUACCGCAUACGACCUACGGGUGAAAGCAGGGGAUCUUCGGACCUUGCGCGAUUGAAUGAGCCGAUGUCGGAUUAGCUAGUUGGCGGGGUAAGGGCCCACCAAGGCGACGAUCCGUAGCUGGUCUGAGAGGAUGAUCAGCCACACUGGAACUGAGACACGGUCCAGACUCCUACGGGAGGCAGCAGUGGGGAAUAUUGGACAAUGGGCGCAAGCCUGAUCCAGCCAUACCGCGUGGGUGAAGAAGGCCUUCGGGUUGUAAAGCCCUUUUGUUGGGAAAGAAAAGCAGCAGGUUAAUACCCCGCUGUUCUGACGGUACCCAAAGAAUAAGCACCGGCUAACUUCGUG